AGAGUUUGAUCAUGGCUCAGAACGAACGCUGGCGGCAUGCCUAACACAUGCAAGUCGAACGGGAUCCAGGCUUCGGCCUGGUGAGAGUGGCGGACGGGUGAGUAACGCGUGGGAACCUGCCCAAUGGUCUGGGAUAACCGCGGGAAACUGCGGCUAAUACCGGAUAAGCCCGAGAGGGGAAAGAUUUAUCGCCGAUGGAGGGGCCCGCGUCAGAUUAGGUAGUUGGUGGGGUAAUGGCCUACCAAGCCUACGAUCUGUAGCUGGUCUGAGAGGAUGAUCAGCCACACUGGGACUGAGAUACGGCCCAGACUCCUACGGGAGGCAGCAGUGGGGAAUAUUGGACAAUGGGGGCAACCCUGAUCCAGCAAUGCCGCGUGAGUGAUGAAGGCCUUAGGGUUGUAAAGCUCUUUUGGCGGGGACGAUGAUGACGGUACCCGCAGAAUAAGCCCCGGCUAACUUCGUGCCAGCAGCCGCGGUAAUACGAAGGGGGCGAGCGUUGUUCGGAAUUACUGGGCGUAAAGGGCGCGUAGGCGGCCGAUCAAGUUAGAUGUGAAAGUCCUGGGCUUAACCUGGGGACUGCAUUUGAUACUGAUUGGCUUGAAUUCGGGAGAGGAUAGCGGAAUUCCCAGUGUAGAGGUGAAAUUCGUAGAUAUUGGGAAGAACACCGGUGGCGAAGGCGGCUAUCUGGACCGACAUUGACGCUGAGGCGCGAAAGCGUGGGGAGCAAACAGGAUUAGAUACCCUCGUAGUCC
rnacentral:rRNA from 1 species